GAUGAACGCUGGCGGCGUGCUUAACACAUGCAAGUCGAACGGUGACGCCAAGCUUGCUUGGUGGAUCAGUGGCGAACGGGUGAGUAACACGUGAGCAACCUGCCCUGGACUCUGGGAUAAGCGCUGGAAACGGCGUCUAAUACUGGAUAUGAGCCUCUUCCGCAUGGUGGGGGUUGGAAAGAUUUUUUGGUCUGGGAUGGGCUCGCGGCCUAUCAGCUUGUUGGUGAGGUAUUGGCUCACCAAGGCGUCGACGGGAAGCCGGCCUGGGAGGGUGACCGGCCACACUGGGACUGAGACACGGCCCAGACUCCUACGGGAGGCAGCAGUGCGGAAUAUUGCACAAGGGGCGGAAGCCUGAUGCAGCAACGCCGCGUGAGGGAUGACGGCCUUCGGGUUGUAAACCUCUUUUAGCUGGGAAGAAGCGAAAGUGACGGUACCGGGAGAAAAAGCUCCGGCUAACUACGUG
rnacentral:rRNA from 1 species